rnacentral:misc_RNA from 1 species
AAGUCGUAACAAGGUUUCCGUAGGUGAACCUGCGGAAGGAUCAUUAUCGAGUUAGGGUCCCUCGGGGCCUGACCUCCCAACCCUUUGUUUACCGAACCUCUGUUGCUUCGGCGGGCCCGUCUUAGGACCGCCCGGGGGCUGCUGAAAAGCGCCUCUAGGCCCGCGUCCGUCGAUAGCCCCUACCAUAAAACUCUGAAUGAAUCGUGUUUUUUAUGUCUGAGUCUCCAUAAAAUUAAAGCAAAACUUUCAACAACGGAUCUCUUGGUUCUG